UGCAGAAUCCCGUGAACCAUCGAGUCUUUGAACGCAAGUUGCGCCCCAAGCCUUCUGGCCGAGGGCACGUCUGCCUGGGUGUCACAA
rnacentral:rRNA from 4 species